UGGGUUAAUUCAAAUUCUAGGUCUGUGCUGCACUGCCGAAAGAUUGCUCCCCCUUCUGCUUCCUUCUCAGGUCGGAUCGCUGGCUGUUCCUCGAACCCACCUCCAGCGGCUCGCUCCCUUCUGCAAGGCUCAGGUUCUCUCUCUCUCGCUCUCUCUCUCUCUCCUUGCUCUUCCCCUACCUCUGGUUCUGCCUGUGCGACGCAGGCACGUCGUCGGGGCAUGAUGUUCGCAGAAUGCUCUUGAAAGGGCACUUGACGGCUACGUUGUUGAGUCUCGUCUUCUGGCGAUGGGUGGUGGAGGAAGUUCCUCCGAGUAUAUCGUCGGGAAGGGCAUUUUCUUUUUUCUGCUCCUGGGGAUAUAUCGCCGUCAAGGCACCGAUCUCUGUAGUUUUGUUUUCUGUUACCUCCCUCUGCGUUCUUGAUCCUCGAAACAUCUAUGCCUGACGUGAAGAAAGUGUAUCUCUCUCACUCAUCUCCUUACCCCUUGGAACAGCGAGAAUCAGGAUCGGAUUAGUUUUCUUGGAAAGGAAUAGUGGAAGACCACUGGCGAGUGAGAGCUUGUCGUACACCCUGAGAACCUGAAUAUCCCUC
rnacentral:lncRNA from 1 species